rnacentral:rRNA from 1 species
UACGUAGGGUGCGAGCGUUGUCCGGAAUUAUUGGGCGUAAAGAGCUCGUAGGCGGUGUGUCACGUCGGCCGUGAAAACCUGGGGCUUAACUCUGGGCGUGCGGUCGAUACGGGCAUCACUAGAGUUCGGCAGGGGAGACUGGAAUUCCUGGUGUAGCGGUGAAAUGCGCAGAUAUCAGGAGGAACACCGGUGGCGAAGGCGGGUCUCUGGGCUGUAACUGACGCUGAGGAGCGAAAGCAUGGGGAGCGAACAGG